rnacentral:rRNA from 1 species
CGCGGGAUUGCCUNNCUGAGUNACAGCAGNCGCGGUAAUACGUAGGGACCAAGCGUUGUUCGGAUUUACUGGGCGUAAAGGGNGCGUAGGCGGCUUGCACAAGUCACUUGUGAAAUCUCCGGGCUUAACUCGGAACGGCCAAGUGAAACUGUUCAUGCUAGAGUGCAGAAGGGGNAACCGGAAUNCUUGGUGUAGNGGCGAAAUGNGUAGAUAUCAAGAGG